AUGCCCAAUGAUUAAGAAAAGACGCGUUAUUUUGAGGACAGAAGCUGGCGUCUCCUCCUGCCCCCCCAUCAUCAUCUUCCUCCUUUUCUUGUUCUCCUCUCCCCACCCCCACUCUUCACCGCUGUCUCCCUAUUCCGGAGUACCCAGUGUCCUUUGAGCACAAUUAUGAGAUAUGAGGGCAU